rnacentral:misc_RNA from 1 species
GAUGAAGAACGCAGCGAAAUGCGAUAAGUAAUGUGAAUUGCAGAAUUCAGUGAAUCAUCGAAUCUUUGAACGCACAUUGCGCCCGCCAGUAUUCUGGCGGGCAUGCCUGUUCGAGCGUCAUUACAACCCUCAGGCCCCCGGGCCUGGCGUUGGGGAUCGGCGGAAGCCCCCUGCGGGCACAACGCCGUCCCCCAAAUACAGUGGCGGUCCCGCCGCAGCUUCCAUUGCGUAGUAGCUAACACCUCGCAACUGGAGAGCGGCGCGGCCACGCCGUAAAACACCCAACUUAUGAAUGUUGACCUCGAAUCAGGUAGGAAUACCCGCUGAACUUAAGCAUAUCAAUAAGCGGAGGA